rnacentral:rRNA from 1 species
AUUGAACGCUGGCGGCAUGCCUUACACAUGCAAGUCGAACGGUAACAGGUCUUCGGAUGCUGACGAGUGGCGAACGGGUGAGUAAUACAUCGGAACGUGCCUAGUAGUGGGGGAUAACUACUCGAAAGAGUGGCUAAUACCGCAUGAGAUCUACGGAUGAAAGCAGGGGAUCGCAAGACCUUGUGCUAUUAGAGCGGCCGAUGGCAGAUUAGGUAGUUGGUGGGAUAAAAGCUUACCAAGCCGAAGAUCUGUAGCUGGUCUGAGAGGACGAUCAGCCACACGGGGACUGAGACACGGACCAGACUCCUACGGGAGGCAGCAGUGGGGAAUUUUGGACAAUGGGCGCAAGCCUGAUCCAGAAAUGCCGCGUGCAGGAUGAAGGCCUUCGGGUUGCAAACUGCUUUUGUACGGAACGAAAAGCCCUGGGUUAAUACCCUGGGGUCAUGACGGUACCGUAAGAAUAAGCACCGGCUAACUACGUGCCAGCCGCCGCAGUAAAAC